UGGAGAAAUCUAGACCCAUGUCUGGAAACUUGUUCUUCAAUCUAAACUAUGAACUAAAGCAAGCUGAAGGGGCUGAUUGAUAGAUCCUCCUGAAGACAAAUGCAGCAAAGGCCAGGAGUUGCAUUCUGCAAAGCUUAGUCAAAACUAUCACACCAGUGAAUCACAGCUAAACAUUGGCUGAAGAAGUGAAGGAUUUGUGUGUUCAGCAUCCAUUGAUCUCUGCUGUCAUUGGCCUGAAAGGAAUGUGGACAGAAAAGAUAUUUUCUGUUACUUGGGAACUGCUGCCCUGAAAACCUGCCUUUUGCUUGAUGUGGAACUUCUUUUGCAAUCCUCAGCAUCAUUCUGGGAUGGAAGAGCCCUGUGAGACACACCUGAGAGUACUCAGAGGCCUUCUGGGCUAUGGAACCAUGACUUCAGACUUCAGUGGGGAAAUGCGAUCCUUCACAAGGCAAUGCUAGACAUUAGCUAGAAGUCAUAAUUUAUUUGAAAUACAACUAUUUUUGCUGUUUCAUAUUCUGUUUAUUACGGAGCAUCCCUAGUCUGGGGGUUGGACACUUGCCCAAUUGAUCUCAAUGAGAAUUUGUGCAGUGUAAAAAUGAUAGUUUAUGUAAUGUUGCAUAU